ensembl:misc_RNA 7SK 7SK RNA
AGAUAAGAAGGUGAUCUUGCUGUGACAUCUGUCACUUUACUGAUGAGCAAGACUGAUUCAGCUGAUCUGGCUGACUAGCUGGGUGCUCCUUUCUUCUUUUGAUCCAUAUGCCCCUCCCAGUUUGCAUGGAAGAGGAGGGUCAUUCUUUGGUCAAGAAUUUAGGAGUACCUACCUGUACGCCUUUCCUAGAACUUUCAAACAAGCUCUCAAGAGUAAAAUGAGGACUUUGAGUUUUAACUGUCCUACCACCCACCCAUACCCCCAAAAGAGUAAUAACUAUUAGUUCUUACUAG